UAAAACAUAGAAUUAAUGCACUGGAUCCCAUUAGAACAAUGUAGUUAAGCCCAAUCAGGCUAGAGUAGUAUUGGGAUGGAUGACCGUCAAGGAAGUCCUAGUGUUUUAC
rfam:Picea glauca, whole genome shotgun sequence.